UUUUGUGGCCAUACCAACUUGUCAAAACCUGAUCUUGUCAGAUCUCAGAAGCUAAGCCAGAUCGGGCCUGGUUACUACUUGGAUAGGAGACCACUAGGAACACCAGGUGACACAGUGG
rnacentral:rRNA from 1 species